GACGAACGCUGGCGGCAUGCCUAACACAUGCAAGUCGAACGGAACGGCCCUGCCUUGUUGCGCACCUCUAGUGAAGAACGGGGGAGUUACCCGUAAGUAACGUACCCCUGACUGCGGGAGGUCCUCAUGCAACUUGGUCUAAUACGGCCUAGGAGCUCCUGCUGCAGGGUGGGCGUUGGUUAGUUUCGGCGGUUGGUAAUGGAAUAGCGGCCCAUCAGCUUGUUGGUGGGGUAGUGGCAUAGCAUGGCCUUGCAGGGUAGCCGUCCUGCGAGGAGGAGCCGCCACAUUGGGACUGAGAUACGGCCCAGACUACUACGGGAGGCAGCAGUGGGGAAUAUUGCACAAUGGGCGGAAGCCUGGUGUAGCAAAGCCGCGUGCGGGAUGACGGCCUUCGGGUUGUAAACCGCUUUCGCCUGAGACGAAGCGUGAGUGACGGUAAUGGGUAAAGAAGCACCGGCUAACUACGUG
rnacentral:rRNA from 1 species